rnacentral:rRNA from 1 species
AGAGCGAACGCUGGCGGCAGGCUUAACACAUGCAAGUCGAGCGCUCGUAGCAAUACGAGAGCGGCAGACGGGAGAGUAACACGUGGGAACGUACCCUUCGGUUCGGAACAACCCAGGGAAACUUGGGCUAAAUACCGGAUACGUCCGUAAGGAGAAAGAUUUAUCGCCGAAGGAUCGGCCCGCGUCUGAUUAGCUAGUUGGUGAGGUAACGGCUCACCAAGGCGACGAUCAGUAGCUGGUCUGAGAGGAUGAUCAGCCUCACUGGGACUGAGACACGGCCCAGACUCCUACGGGAGGCAGCAGUGGGGAAUAUUGGACAAUGGGCGCAAGCCUGAUCCAGCCAUGCCGCGUGGGUGAUGAAGGCCCUAGGGUUGUAAAGCCCUUUCGGCGGGGAAGAUAAUGACGGUACCCGUAGAAGAAGCCCCGGCUAACUUCGUGCCAGCAGCCGC